CAGCGUUUUGGUAGCUGCAAACCAAGGGCGGUAGCGUG
rnacentral:ncRNA from 1 species